rnacentral:rRNA from 1 species
ACGCUCGACACCUACGGGGGCAGCAGUGGGGAAUAUUGCACAAUGGGGGAAACCCUGAUGCAGCGACGCCGCGUGGAGGAAGAAGGUCUUCGGAUUGUAAACUCCUGUUGUUGGGGAAAAAGAGGAUGGUACCCAACAAGGAAGUGACGGCUAACUACGUGCCAGGAGCCGCGGUAAUCUGAGCGGGCUGGCAAGGC